UACAGAGGUCUCAAGCGUUGUUCGGAUUUAUUGGGCGUAAAGAGCUCGUAGGCGGCUCAGUAAGUCAGGUGUGAAAACUCCAGGCUCAACCUGGAGACGCCACCUGAUACUGCUGUGGCUAGAGUCCGGUAGGGGAGCAUGGAAUUCCUGGUGUAGCGGUGAAAUGCGCAGAUAUCAGGAGGAACACCAGUGGCGAAGGCGGUGCUCUGGGCCGGAACUGACGCUGAGGAGCGAAAGCGUGGGGAGCAAACAGG
rnacentral:rRNA from 1 species